rnacentral:rRNA from 1 species
GAACGCUAGCUACAGGCUUAACACAUGCAAGUCGAGGGGCAGCAUGGUCUUAGCUUGCUAAGGCCGAUGGCGACCGGCGCACGGGUGAGUAACACGUAUCCAACCUGCCGUCUACUCUUGGACAGCCUUCUGAAAGGAAGAUUAAUACAAGAUGGCAUCAUGAGUCCGCAUGUUCACAUGAUUAAAGGUAUUCCGGUAGACGAUGGGGAUGCGUUCCAUUAGAUAGUAGGCGGGGUAACGGCCCACCUAGUCUUCGAUGGAUAGGGGUUCUGAGAGGAAGGUCCCCCACAUUGGAACUGAGACACGGUCCAAACUCCUACGGGAGGCAGCAGUGAGGAAUAUUGGUCAAUGGGCGAGAGCCUGAACCAGCCAAGUAGCGUGAAGGAUGACUGCCCUAUGGGUUGUAAACUUCUUUUAUAAAGGAAUAAAGUCGGGUAUGGAUACCCGUUUGCAUGUACUUUAUGAAUAAGAAUCGGCUAACUCCGUGCCAGCAGCCGCGGUAAUACGGAGGAUCCGAGCGUUAUCCGGAUUUAUUGGGUUUAAAGGGAGCGUAGAUGGAUGUUUAAGUCAGUUGUGAAAGUUUGCGGCUCAACCGUAAAAUUGCAGUUGAUACUGGAUAUCUUGAGUGCAGUUGAGGCAGGCGGAAUUCGUGGUGUAGCGGUGAAAUGCUUAGAUAUCACGAAGAACUCCGAUUGCGAAGGCAGCCUGCUAAGCUGCAACUGACAUUGAGGCUCGAAAGUGUGGGUAUCAAACAGGAUUAGAUACCCUGGUAGUCCACACGGUAAACGAUGAAUACUCGCUGUUUGCGAUAUACAGCAAGCGGCCAAGCGAAAGCGUUAAGUAUUCCACCUGGGGAGUACGCCGGCAACGGUGAAACUCAAAGGAAUUGACGGGGGCCCGCACAAGCGGAGGAACAUGUGGUUUAAUUCGAUGAUACGCGAGGAACCUUACCCGGGCUUAAAUUGCAGAUGAAUUACGGUGAAAGCCGUAAGCCGCAAGGCAUCUGUGAAGGUGCUGCAUGGUUGUCGUCAGCUCGUGCCGUGAGGUGUCGGCUUAAGUGCCAUAACGAGCGCAACCCUUGUUGUCAGUUACUAACAGGUUCCGCUGAGGACUCUGACAAGACUGCCAUCGUAAGAUGUGAGGAAGGUGGGGAUGACGUCAAAUCAGCACGGCCCUUACGUCCGGGGCUACACACGUGUUACAAUGGGGGGUACAGAGGGCCGCUACCACGCGAGUGGAUGCCAAUCCCCAAAACCUCUCUCAGUUCGGACUGGAGUCUGCAACCCGACUCCACGAAGCUGGAUUCGCUAGUAAUCGCGCAUCAGCCACGGCGCGGUGAAUACGUUCCCGGGCCUUGUACACACCGCCCGUCAAGCCAUGGGAGCCGGGGGUACCUGAAGUGCGUAACCGCGAGGAGCGCCCUAGGGUAAAACUGGUGACUG